rnacentral:rRNA from 1 species
CCCUUAGAUGUUCUAGGCCGCACGCGCGCUACACUGAUGCAUUCAACGAGUUUUUCCUGGUCCGAGAGGAAUGGGUAACCUUUUGAAAGUGCAUCGUGCUAGGGAUAGACUAUUGCAAUUAUUGGUCUUCAACGAGGAAUUCCUAGUAGACGUAGUUCAUCAGACUGCAUCGAUUACGUCCCUGCCCUUUGUACACACCGCCCGUCGCUCCUACCGAUUGGAUGAUCCGGUGAGCUAUUCGGACCUUCGCUUCGUCGAUUUUCGGCUUUGUGAGGGAAAGUCUCGCGAACCUUAUCAUCUAGAGGAAGGAGAAGUCGUAACA